AAACAACCUCUUCAGUAAAUUUAAUUGUGCACUGAACUUGUUGAUUCAUACCAUCCCUUGUAGUCCUAUUAAGUGUCUCAUCAUAAAAUUAGCAACAGCAGCUUCAUUGGAGCUUUAUUAUUUUAUGUUAAAUCGAGCCGGCUUCCCAAAUAAGCCCAGAAUUCCUCUCCAUGACAAGAGUGCUGCAUGACCAUGGGUCAAAGGUGGCGUGCACUCUAAUUUCUAAUUAAAUCUCAGCGUGGAAAAGUGAUCUGUCACUGCCCGCGAACUGCGAAUGACAGGGGCUUUGCUACCACAGCUUCACACGUGAAGGGAACAGACCCCCACCACGUCCGCACCCUGGACUCUGCCACCUCGGGCUCCCUGGCUGUACCCCAAGGGAAACACUAUAUGUAUGUCAGUUUCCUGAGAAACUGCCACUGAAGGGCUCACAGGGAUCGUCAUGGAGGGUUUUUUUGUCCUCAUUGUCACUCUAGUGGUGGUUCCUGGAAAUGCAGCAGUGAUUUAGGAUCAGAUCUUCUUACAUAGCAGUGGUUGUGUGCUUCUGUGGUUGUGUGCUUCUGUGGAUGUAACUGAAACUCUGUUUGGCUUGCAAAAUGUGCACACCCAAUCUCUGCUGGGUGUGCAUGCACCCGUACACAUGUAGAGGAAUGAUUACAGGGGGUACAAGAGUAUACAAAGAAAUCUGAACUCCAAGCCUUUACUUAUACACUGUUCAGGUAUUUCAUUUGCAUUUGUGACCAUAUGCACAGCAAUAUAUCCGAUAUGCAUGUCAAUUUUUCCUCCUGCAAUCAAAUAGAAAGCCUGUGAAGUAAAUAUCUAUUUUCUUACAGCCUGCCUGUUUACAACAUGGGGGAGCGGCUAUAUAAACACUGUGUGGCAAAUGAGGAAUUUCUUUUAACAUAUCGGCCCGGCCAGCAUAUGCUAGAUAUAGGAAACCCAUAGCGUCAGUGGCUCCAUAUCGGCUGCAGGGGUCAAAGGCUAGAGAGGGUCAAAGGUGUCAUCCUCCUUUCUCAUCAUGAAGUGCAUUAACAUCCUUUCCCCGUCCUGUCUCAUCCAGAUGGCAGAGCAGGCCACAGGACAGAUGCCCCCAUUUUCAAAUAUCUCAGGGAUCCAAAAUGCACCAUCGAGAGUAAAUAUGGCUUCAUCUUCAGGACAUCAUAUUUCAAAGGAAUAUGGAGAUAUUGGCAAAAGCAAAAGCCUGGGCUGUGUUAAAUAGACCUUAAUUGAUUCUUGGCCCACUCGUGACAGCUUGCUCUCUCUGGUUUGUGUUUUAACCGAGAAAAUGUUUCAUCUCACGCUCAACACCCAUUUGAACAAAGGACAAACAAAUCGAAAUGUCUUUCUGUCUCCACACACCAAGAGCAAGUAAAAUCUUUCAUGUGAAUGAAUUACAUGUUAAGUCAACGCGAAGACACAAUUAGACGCUCUGACUACUCUGGUGGUGCGAAUGACGCGAAUUGGGCGGGAGCUGAAAAUGUCUCAACUUGAGCAGAUAUUCACGUUGCAAUAACUAAUCAGCACAAAGGGUGCCGCAUGACGUAUGAAAAUGGACGGUUGUUCAGUGGUAUCUGAAAUGAAGGACAAACUGAUCGUGUCGGUGUGUGGGUGCCCCGAACUAAAUGAUACCUUUUCUUUCAAUUACCGAAACUGGAAUAAAAAGGAGCUCACCUGGAGGAAAGUGAGUGAGGAGGUCAGAUUAACUGGUAAAUUGUAAAAAUCCUUUGUCUACCACUUGAUCCUGUUGGUUAAAUUGGCAGAGAUUACCAUUGAAAUUACCGUUGACGAGUGAAUGAAGUAGGUAAAUAUUAUUUAUUCACACAUCUAGAUUCACGCGAAUUAAGCGAGUAGAUGAUUUUACUUAGCUUAGUGUGAGCGCCCCAUUAGAUGUAUUUUACUCAAAAGAAUAAGCCUACUAUGUAGCCUAUGUGCAUUACCCUGCCUUUUCUGCUCAGGAACAGGUAACUAACUAGCAACCCCUGGGGAUGUGGUCACCCUGUCGCUUUAGGUAGGACGACCAAAUCUCUAUAAAUCAACUGACAGGUAGUCCUUUUUACCUGGGAAUAGGAAUAAAAUGGCAUGGGAUACAUUAGGCCACUUAAGAUUACCCUAAUACUUAUUUUAAAAGAGUCACAGCCGUCAAAUGUCUCACAUUUGUAGGACUAACAACCAAAAACACACUAGUAGGAGAAAGUUUGGACAACAAACUAUGAUCCACUUUUAGAAUAGAAAUAAAAGUUCUGAGUUUGUAUCGGGGGAAGUGUAUGAAUGAAAUUCCGCAGCUUUAUAAUAAGGCACAACAGCUGGACCCACAUGACUGACAUCUUCAAAUUUGCUGCCUCAAUAAAUUCACACACACACACACAUUUCUUUGAAGUCCAGAAUUCAAAAACUUUAACAUGUCAUUGUUUGACUUGUCAGUGUCACUCCUAUACUAAUCAGCACGGCUCAUAAACAGAUGAUCCCCUCUCUCGGAGCCCGUCAUUACUUUUACGACACCAAAACUCUUCCCGGCAUGCUCGCAGUCAAACAAAUGGAGUCGCUCCAAGCCAAACAGACCACAGCACCCUGCCGGGAGCUUUGGGUUGGCUCGCAUGCAGCCUCUCAAACGUACACACACAUUUAUGUUUGCAGAGAGCAACAGUGACUUAUACACACCGUCUUACUUACACACACAAAUGAAUAUAGCACGCUACCCUGCCCAGAGACCUCUGACUUGAACCUGCUCCUCUCACUCAGCAAUACAUAAAUCACCGGGCUCUCAGCGGUGCUGCUGGCCCUCAGUGCCAUGCUGAACUUGACUCCACAGGAAUAAAAGUCGGUAACUGGAUACAAAAACUAAUCCAGACCAGAGACAAUUGCUGGCAAACGGCGGCCUGAGAGGUGCUGAUACCCCAUGUGAGGAUAUGCAGUGUCUGUCAGGGUAGCUGUGACUUCUGCACUGAGGGUGCUAAUGCUUAGAGAGAGGGAAAAUGAGUAAAGACAUGCUUAAAGGAGCUUAUGGAGGUAUGCAUUUAUUUAUGUAAAUCUAGUACCAUAAAUAAAUAUUACCCCCAAUUUCCACCGUAUCUGGAACUGCUACAAAAAGGCUGAAUCCGCCGAUCGUAGUUGAUCGUAUCCAUACAAGUUAAUAUGUCAAUUUCCACCGGCUUUUUUUCUGUUCUGCUGCAGAUCGCCAGACUCCACAGUUCUAUUUAUUCUGGACGCCGGAGCAUGCCGGAUAAAUUCAGCACAGAUUAACCCGUGCUGGAAAGGAAGUCGGGCACAGACACAAAAUAAAACAUCCGGCUUCUUUUUAAAAUAAAGCAGAGUAUUUCAGGUGGAUCGUAUUUCUCACCAUGCAAACGGGCAGGGAAGAACAAGUAAAAGGUUUAUAGAUAGCAGAUCAUCCUGAUUACACCGUGGAUGAGGGGAUGCUGAUUUUAGAAGUCUAGAAGUAGAUUUCCUCCUCAGGAAGGACACAAUCUACGGCUUAUGUGGUUAGCCUAUGCUGUCUGUAAUCCACCACAAAAUUCACCUCACAAAUGGAUCCGGUAGGACUUGGCGGACGGCAAAAACUGCUGCCGUUCUGGACCAGAGCUGUUCCGGAUGCAGUGAAAAUUGGGGUUUACCCUUAAAUAUUUCUAUUUAUUAUACAUUUCUCUAUUUCUCUUCCGAAGAAACAGCCACCGAACAGGAAGAAUUAACCCUUAUCUCAGUGCAACAUUAGCAAUAAAAUUAUAUCAUGCAAAGGAGGGUGAACAACAAACAUGAUUAAACACCUUAGGAUUCAUGGAGGAGAAAUACCUGAGUGCCCCGUCUUUGACGUGCUUCGCCGGUCUUCUGCUAGUGAAACAAUAAAUUACUUCUGUCUUCUGCUAACAUUGAAGCAGCAAACAAACUGUACUGUGUACGGUGGGUCAACUUAAAUAUCCAACUAAUGUUAGCCCUCAUACUUUUUCAUAGACAAAUGACCUGACAAAAAAAAUUGAUAUUUAUGUACUGGUUGAAAAAAGCCCUGUGAGAAAUUCAUAGUUAAGUUCUUAAAAAGUUCAUAUAAUGUAAAAAUUCAUGGAGAAGUUCAGAAAUUUCAUCUAAAAAGAAGAACUCAGGUAAGCAUCCUCAUUUAAACCAUGCAUUUAUUUUUGAUAUCCUGACUUUUAAAAGAAUUGGAAUAGAAAAUCGUUAGGAACCGGAAUCAAAAUGAGGAAUUGGAACUGGAAUCAUUCAAAAUCAAACGAUACUCAACCCUUGCGAUCGUCCUCAAAGAGUGUCUCAAAAGUAGCUGAAUGAAUAAUGGUUGUCAGUGCGGCACAGUCUUUAAACAAUCAAGUAGUCAAGAAAUAUGGUGCCACAUACUGUCACAAAAAUGCCAAUCAAAUCCUCUGAGGCUCCAUAUGGAUGUUUACGACUUGAAAUAAGUGGCCUAAUACCAGUGUUGGGGAGUGACAGUGCAACAAAUAUAGGCAUUGGUAGUAGGGGUUUCCCGAUACGAUAUUGAUAUCAGUCCAAUAUCAGCAAAAAACGAAUAUCGGAUUAUAUCAACCUGCGUAUAAAAUCUGCAAUAUCAGCACUCUGAUACAGUCUAUUUCAGACUCCGCUCUGGCACCUCUGUAUGGCAGCACCCGGAUCUAGCAUGCAGAGCCCAUGUGAUCACAACAACAGUGUGUACUCAGGUACUAACAAAGUAGCAAGGAGUAGGAGUGAUGUUGGCCAGCAGUAUUUUUUGUUAAAGUCCAAAAAAGACAUUGUAGCUGAGCGCAAAACUUGUCAUGCACAAAUUUGUGCCAAUAUCAGAUCAAUAUCUAUAUCGGCCAAUACAGAAGGCUACAGUAUCGGUAUCGUAUCGGAACAUGGAAGAGACUUUCUUCUCUUGUAUGAUGUCGAUGCCAUCAAAUGUGAUUCUUCAUGUAAGCUCAUGCAGACAGAAGUAUAAGUUUAGUACCAGGCCAGCCUGCUGGUAAACACCAAAGUCUACCUCACCUCAUCUGAGUCAGAAAACAACACCUGUCGUGUGUGUGGUGCUUUUAUCUGCUGCAAUUAGAGAAGAGUUCUGUGUUCCUGAUUCACUGUAACACACACAGUUGGGCGUUAGGAUGGUGCUGUUAAAACAAACAAAGUCGUGAAAAAACAAGGGUGUCGAUUUAAUAACUUAAACUGCUCUGGGUAAAUAAUGAAAGUUACAGUGAACAUUUUAGGAGGUGUGCCUUUGCUAUUACCCUGGAGAUUUAUGAGGCUAUGCUGAAACACAAAACUUCAUUUGACAUCCUUUUGUUGGCCUGUUAGUCUACUUAAGCCUGCACAACAAAGCCCUAAUAACACCCUGCUGUAAAUAAUCCAGCGACUGAGCAAUGUGGCAACCUCUCACACCACUCCCUGUGCUCCUGCAGCGCUCUGAGCCUGCACCGUCCCGGCCCCCAGUCGCAGCUACAGGCCCGGCAGCAGCUCCACAGAUACAGGAAUGCCUCUGUACUCCUCUGCUCUGAUAGCGAGGCCACUGUUUGGCUCUGAUAACAUCAGGCACCAAGGCCUGCAAAGCCAAGAGGCUCCGAGACACACUUUUAUGACUUAAGUAUCUCAGAGUGAUAUCUGCAGCCAUCAGCUCAGUACACCCUCAUCACAUACUUACACAGACACUCAGACACUCUCUCUGCAUCUAAGUGUGUGUGCGCACACUCCAUAGCAUGCCUGCAAACAUGCACAUGUGAACACAACCUCACUCUGGUUAUUCACUGCACCGCCUCUUAGUUUAUGUACAGACACAACAAACAUACAAAGACACACUCACACACACAAACAGGAACAUGACUGAACUUCUGUUUUCUUUGGACCAAAUUCAAUCUACAGUCAACUUCAAAUUAGCUCCUAAUUUUUACCCAUUAGACUAACCUAGUAACGCUAAUUUAAUCCUUAACCAGACCCUGACAGUAAUCCCAACUCUAAUUCC